rnacentral:rRNA from 1 species
CCCUAUGGGGUGCACCAGGUGUCGGUGUCAAGCCUUGUAUCAAGGGGGAUUAUUUUGUCAGCGACGGAAGUACCGUCCUUGGCGCCGAUGAUGCCGCCGGGCUGGCGGCUGUUUUGGAAGGAGUGACAACGCUCCUGGAAAUGGGAACAUCCCAUCCACCGAUUGAGAUUGUUCUGAGUGUCGCCGAAGAAUUAGGCUUGGUCGGUUCCCGACAUUUCGAUGCUGAUCAGCUUGCGGCGCAUUCAGGAUUUGUUCUCGACGCGCACGGCAGGGUUGGCGAAAUUGUUAUCCAGGCAGCUGAAAAACUGAAAUUCAAGGCGGUGUUUUAUGGUCGGAGUGCCCAUGCCGGUUUUGUGCCGGAGCAGGGAGUGUCGGCGAUUCAGAUGGCGGGGGGGC